CCGGCGCGAGCAGCUGUGGAUGAAGCGGAAGUGAGAAUGUCAGCUUGAGUAACACAAACAUUGGUGAGAAUCCAAUGCCCCAAAAACCUAAGGGUUCCUCUGCAAGGUUCGUCCACAGAAGGUGAGUCAGGGCCUAAGAUCAGGCCAAAAGGCAUAGUCGAUGGACAACAAGUUAAUAUUCUUGUACUACCCCUUGUUGGUCCCAAGGGACGGAGGAGGCUAGGUUAUCCGAAAGAUAGUUAUCGGUUCAAGGACGCAAGGUGACCCUGCUUUUUUCAGGGUAAGAAGGGGUAGAGAAAAUGCCUCGAACCAAUGUCCAAGUACCAAGCGCUACAGCGCUGAAGUAACCCAUGCCAUACUCCCAGGAAAUGCUCAAACGACCUUUAACAAAUGGGUACCUGUACCCGAAACUGACACAGGUAGGUAGGUAGAGAAUACCUAGGGGUGUGAGACAACUCUCUCUAAGGAACUCAGAAAAAUAGCCCCGUAACUUUGGGAGAAGGGGUGCCUCCUCAGGAGGUCGCAGUGACCAGGCCCGGGCGACUGUUUACCAAAAACAUAGGUCUCCGCAAAUUCAUAAGACCAUGUAUGGGGGCUGAAGCCUACCCAGUGCUGGAAGGUUAAGGAAGUUGGUGACCUGAUGACGGGGAAGCCAGCGACCGAAGCCCCAGUGAACGAUAGCCAUAACUAUAAUGGUCCUAAGGUAGCGAAAUUCCUUAUUGGGUAAGUUCUGACCCGCACGAAAGGCGUAACGAUCUUGGCACUGUCUCAGAGAGAGACUCGGUGAAAUAGACAUGUUUGUGAAGAUGCGGACUACCUGCACCUGGACAGAAAGACCCUAUGAAGCUUUACUAUUCCCUGGGAUUGUCUUUGGGUUCUUCUUGUGCAGCUUAGGUGGAAGGCAAAGAAGGCUCCUUCUCGGGGGGGCCUGAGCCACCAGUGAGAUACCACUUUGGAAGAGCUAGAAUUCUAACCUUGUGUCAGGACCUACGGGCCAAGGGACA
rnacentral:ncRNA from 1 species